AUGGUGGCUGCCUCCACCACAGCCCCGAAAGUCUACCCUCUGGCCUCCAGCUGCGGGGACACGUCCAGCUCCACCGUGACCCUGGGCUGCCUGGUCUCCAGUUACAUGCCCGAGCCAGUGACCGUGACCUGGAACUCAGGUGCCGUGACCAGCGGUGUGCGCACCUUCCCGGCUGUCCGGCAGUCCUCCGGGCUCUACUCUCUCAGCAGCAUCGUGACCGUGCCCGCCAGCACCUCAGGAUCCCAGACCUUCACCUGCAACGUAGCCCACCCGGCCAGCAGCACCAAAGUGAACAAGCCUGUCACUGCAAGGCCUCCAGUCCCGAAGACAACACCAGAGCCAAUUACCCAUCCUGUAAAAACCACACCCUACGAUUGCAAAUGCAAACAGGAACCCUGCCAGUGUUCCAAGUGCCCAGCCACAGAACCUCUGGGAGGACUGUCUGUCUUCAUCUUCCCCCCGAAACCCAAGGACACCCUCACAAUCUCUGGAACGCCCGAAGUCACGUGUGUGGUGGUGGACGUGGGCCAGGAUGACCCCGAGGUCAAGUUCUCCUGGUUCGUGGAUGACGUGGAGGUGCACACGGCCAGGACAAAGCCGAAGGAGGAGCAGUUCAACAGCACCUACCGUGUGGUCAGCGCCCUGCCCAUCCAGCACCAGGACUGGCUGCGGGGAAAAGAGUUCAAGUGCAAGGUCAACAACAAAGGCCUCCCGGCCCCCAUCAUGAGGACCAUCUCCAGGAGCAAAGGGCAGGCCCUGGAGCCGCAGGUGUACGUCCUGGCCCCACCCCGGGAAGAGCUCAGCAAAAGCACGGUCAGCCUCACCUGCCUGAUCACUGGCUUCUACCCAGAGGAGAUAGACGUGGAGUGGCAGAGAGAUGGGCAGCCUGAGUCAGAGGACAAGUACGGCACGACCCCACCCCAGCUGGACGCCGACGGCUCCUACUUCCUGUACAGCAGGCUCAGGGUGAACAAGAGCAGCUGGCUAGAAGGAGACAGCUACACGUGUGCAGUGAUGCAUGAGGCUUUACGGAAUCACUACAAAGAGAAGUUCAUCUCGAGGUCUCCGGACCUGCGCCUGGAGGAGGAGAGCUGUGCGGACGACCUGGAUGGGGAGCUGGACGGGCUCUGGAUGACCAUCUCCAUCUUCAUCACGCUCUUCCUGCUCAGCGUCUGCUACAGCGCCACCGUGACCCUCUUCAAGGUGAAGUGGAUCUUCUCCUCAGCAGUGGAGCUAAAGAGGACGAUCAUCCCCGACUACAGAAACAUGAUUGGACAGGGCGCCUAGAGCUCCUGUGAGCAGAGUCCAGGGUCACCCCAGACCAACUGGGCAGUGUCCAUUAUUCUGAGCCUCAACCUGCACCAGGCCUGCUCCUUCGCGCUCUGACCCAGCAACCUCUGACCUCUCGGCCAGACUCACCUGCAUUUCCACUCUUACCUUGUGGCCAUGACAACCUGGCCCGCCCACCCAAGACCCGAGUGGACACCAGGUGGUGACCCAACCUGAGCUGAUGGACACUGAGGGCCUCUGGGAAGCCUGAAAGACACCAAUGGGCUGCGAGUCCCCCACCAGGAACAUACAGGUUGGAGUUAAGUUCUGCCUGGAGAAGUAGGAGGCUAGAUCCAGGGCUGUCUG